rnacentral:rRNA from 1 species
ACGUUAGCGGCGGACGGGUGAGUAACACGUGGGUAACCUACCUAUAAGACUGGGAUAACUUCGGGAAACCGGAGCUAAUACCGGAUAAUAUUUCGAACCGCAUGGUUCGAUAGUGAAAGGUGGUUUUGCUAUCACUUAUAGAUGGACCCGCGCCGUAUUAGCUAGUUGGUAAGGUAACGGCUUACCAAGGCGACGAUACGUAGCCGACCUGAGAGGGUGAUCGGCCACACUGGAACUGAGACACGGUCCAGACUCCUACGGGAGGCAGCAGAG